rnacentral:rRNA from 1 species
ACUCCUACGGGAGGCAGCAGUAGGGAAUCUUCCACAAUGGGCGCAAGCCUGAUGGAGCAACACCGCGUGAGUGAAGAAGGGCUUCGGCUCGUAAAGCUCUGUUGUUAAAGAAGAACACGUAUGAGAGUAACUGUUCAUACGUUGACGGUAUUUAACCAGAAAGUCACGGCUAACUACGUGCCAGCAGCCGCGGUAAUACGUAGGUGGCAAGCGUUAUCCGGAUUUAUUGGGCGUAAAGAGAGUGCAGGCGGUUUUCUAAGUCUGAUGUGAAAGCCUUCGGCUUAACCGGAGAAGUGCAUCGGAAACUGGAUAACUUGAGUGCAGAAGAGGGUAGUGGAACUCCAUGUGUAGCGGUGGAAUGCGUAGAUAUAUGGAAGAACACCAGUGGCGAAGGCGGCUACCUGGUCUGCAACUGACGCUGAGACUCGAAAGCAUGGGUAGCGAACAGGAUUAGAUACCCUGGUAGGAUAGCG